rnacentral:rRNA from 1 species
AACGAACGCUGGCGGCAUGCCUAGCACAUGCAAGUCGAACGAUCCCUUCGGGGAUAGUUGCGCACGGGUGCGUAACGCGUGGGAACCUGCCCUUAGGUUCGGUAUAACUCAGAGAAAUUUGAGCUAAUACCGGAUAAUGUCUUCGGACCAAAGAUUUAUCGCCUUUGGAUGGGCCCGCGUUGGAUUAGCUAGUUGGUGGGGUACAGGCCUACCAAGGCGACGAUCCAUAGCUGGUCUGAGAGGAUGAUCAGCCACACUGGGAAUGAGACACGGCCCAGAAUCCGACGGGAGGCAGCAGUGGGGAAUAUUGGACAAUGGGCGAAAGCCUGAUCCAGCAAUGCCGCGUGAGUGAUGAAGGCCGUAGGGUUGUAAAGCUGUUUUACCCGGGAUGAUAAUGACAGUACCGGGAGAAUAAGCCCCGGCUAACUCCGUG